rnacentral:rRNA from 1 species
UACAGAGGGGGCAAGCGUUAUUCGGAAUUAUUGGGCGUAAAGGGCGCGUAGGCGGCUUGGCAAGUGGAUGGUGAAAUCCCUCGGCUUAACCGAGGAACUGCCGUCCAAACUGCUUCGCUUGAGACCGGGAGAGGUGAGUGGAAUUCCCAGUGUAGCGGUGAAAUGCGUAGAUAUUGGGAGGAACACCAGUGGCGAAGGCGGCUCACUGGACCGGUACUGACGCUGAUGCGCGAAAGCUAGGGGAGCAAACAGGG